rnacentral:rRNA from 1 species
UACGUAGGGGGCAAGCGUUGUCCGGAUUUAUUGGGCGUAAAGAGCGUGUAGGCGGCCAGGUAGGUCAGCUGUGAAAACUCGAGGCUCAACCUCGAGACGUCGGUUGAAACCAUCUGGCUAGAGUCCGGAAGAGGAGAGUGGAAUUCCUGGUGUAGCGGUGAAAUGCGCAGAUAUCAGGAAGAACACCCGUGGCGAAGGCGGCUCUCUGGGACGGUACUGACGCUGAGACGCGAAAGCUAGGGGAGCAAACAGG